UUGAAGAGGAUGUAGAAAAUAUAUCACAUAUAGGAAAGUGUGCAUCCUACAGUGGCAUUUGUGUUAAAGGACCACUUUGUGGGAGAAUACAGGCUACAGACCCCACCACAGGAGUGCCAGUCUACGAUGAUUAAAUUACAGCUACUGGUCAAGAAGGAGAAAUGAAAUCAAGGAAAAUGGAUCUGGGGGACCUAUAACACAUUCAAAACUGAAGACCUUCGUGGAACACUAUCGAUUUAUUUCCUCCAAAGGCUUCAGCAGAAGGGACAGCUACUCAGAGUACAACUUUUUUUCCAGCAAAAGAAGGAUUAACUCUGACCAAGGUCAGAGCAACCAGUCACCAAUAUUCUUCAUGGGAGAGUCAGGCCUCCUGCAUCCCCAGGAAAUAUCACCUGAAAUAGCCACCUACACGCAGGAGUUUAACGGGGAAUUUUGCAGUGUCAGAAAUGUGUGGCAUUCUGAAAAGUCUAGUGGAGCCAUAAGACAAUUAUAUAGCAGCUUCCCCAGGUAA
rnacentral:lncRNA from 1 species